CACUCCCCAACAGCCUCUGCUUCAGCUCCUGCCUCCAGGCUUCUGCCUUGAGCUCCUGAUCUGGCUUUUCUCAGUGAUGGACUGUAACCGGUGAGCUGAAGUAUACCAUUUCCUCUUAACUGUAACCGGAGCGAGCCCUGCAUCCCUUCCAUCUACAUCUCUCUUCCACCACUGGACCAGUGCUGGGGUUUCAGGGAUCUGAGGCGACCCCUGAGGAAGAAUUGUUUGACCAUCCCAAAGGGAUCAAGGCUCACAGGUUGAGAACCGCUGCUCCAGCCCCUUCGGCUGUUUUUAUUGCAGGCAUUG
rnacentral:lncRNA from 1 species